rnacentral:lncRNA from 10 species
UUUUUUGAGAUGGAGUCUCACUCUGUUGCCCAGGCUGGAGUGCAGAAUGCAAUGGCGCGAUCUCGGGUCACUACAGCCUCCGAUUCUGGUGUUCAAGCGAUUCUUCUGCCUCAGCCUCCAGAGUAGCUGGGAUUAUAGGCGCGCGCCACUGUGCUUGGCUGAUUUUUGUAUUUCUAGUGGAGACGGGGUUUCACCAUGUUGGCCAGGCUGGUCUUGAACUCCUGACCUCAAGUGAUCCACCUGCCUCAGUCUCCCAAACUGCUGGGAUUACAGGCAUGAGCCACGGCACCUGGCCUAGAACAUUUUCUUUUUUUCUUGUUUGAGACGGAAUCUCGCUCUGUCGCCCAGGCUGGAGUGCAGUGGCGCCAUCUCGGCUCACUGCAAGCUCCGCCUCCCGGGUUCACACCACUCUCCUGCCUCAGCUUCCCGAGUAGCUGGGACUACAGGGCCUGCCACCACGCCCAGCUAAUUUUUUGUAUUUUUUAGUAGAGACGGGUUUCACCGUGUUAGCCAGGAUGGUCUCGAUCUCCUGACCUCGUGAUCCGCCCGCCUCAGCCUCCCAAAGUGCUAGGAUUACAGGCAUGAGGAUAGCUUGAGCCCAAAAGUUCAUGACCAGCCCUGACAAAAGAGCAAAACCCCAUCUCUAAAAGAAAAAGAAAAAUUAAUUGGGCAUGGUGGUGCACACCUGUGUUCUCAGCUACUCAGGAGGCUGAGAUGGGAGGAUUUCUUGAAUCCAGAAGUUUGAGAGUGCAGUGAGCCUUGACAGCCUGGGCUACAGAGCAAAACCCCAUCUCUUAAAAAAGAAAAAUUUAAAAAACAAACAAAAAAGCAAAGCGGCUGCUCUAUUUUCCAUUCUCACCAGCAGUGUAUGAGGGUUCCAAGUUCUCCAUAUCCUUGACAUGUGUUAUUAUCUCACUUUUUCAUUCUACCCAUCCUAGUGGGUUUGAAGUGGUAUUUCCUUGCCUUUUUGUUUAGCAUUUACUUAAUGAUGUCCAGCAUCUUUUCAGGUCCCCUUGCUCAGUUGUUUAUCUUCCUUAGAAAAAUGUAUAUUCAGCUGGGUGCUGUGGCUCACACCUGUAAUCCCAGCACUUUGGAAGGCCGAGGUGGGCCGAUCACUUCAGCCUAGGAGUUUGAGACCAGCGUGGCCAACAUGGCAAAACCCGUCUCGACUCAAAAUACAAAAAUUAGCCAGGUGUCGUGGCACAUACCUGUAAUCCAAGCUACUCCAGAGCAAGACCAUGUCCCCUCCGCCUCCAGAAAAAAAGCUGUAAAACAGGCUCUGGCAGAUCAUUCAGGAAGUAUUCUGAAAGGUUUUUGUCUUUUUGUUUUCUGGGUUUUUUUUGAGACGAAGUCUGGCACUGUCGCUGGAGGCUGCGGCAGGAGAAUCACUUAUACCAGAGAAGUGGAGGUUGCAGUGAGCCAAGAUCGCAUCACUGAACUCCAGCCUGGGCAACAGAGCAAGACUCUGUCUCACAAAAGAAAAAAAAAAAAGAAUUACUAGGGCCGGGCGCGGUUGCUCAUGCCUGUAAUCCCAGCACUUUGGGAGGCCGAGGCCAGUGGAUCACGAGGUCAGGAGAUCGAGACCAUCCUGGCUAACACGGUGAAACCCCGUCUACUAAAAAUACAAAAAAUUAGCCGGGCGUAGUGGUGGGUGCCUGUAGUCCCUGCUACUCGGGAGGCUGAGGCAGGAGAAUGGCGUGAACCCGGGAGGCGGAGCUUGCAGUGAGCUGAGAUUGCGCCACUGCACUCCAGCCUGGGUGACAGAGCAAGACUCCGUCUCAAAAAUAAAAAGAAUUACCAAGGGUAGAAUUAAGUUCACCUCUUCACUAUAUCAAAUACAGAGAAAUUUUUUGCUUCCUUAAAUAGGAAUCAAGCAACCAAAAAGCAGCAUAAGUUCUGCAAUAAAUUCUUUUAAAUACCCUCUUAUUGAUACACCUUACAGUCAUUACUGGUUUGUGGUGGUAUUUAUUAUUUUUUUAUUUUUUGAGAGAGUCUCACUCUGUUGCCCAGGCUGGAGUGCAGUGGCGUGCUUGGCUCACUGCAACCUCCACUCCCAAGUAGCUGGGAUUACAGAUGUGCACCACCACACCAGGCUAAUUUUUGUAUUUUUAGUAGAGACAGGGUGUUGCUAUGUUGUCCAGGCUGGUCUCCAAUUCCUGGCCUCAAGUGAUCUGCCCGCAUUGGCCUCCCAAAAUGCUGGGAUUACAGGGUGAGCCACCGCGCCCGGCCUGUGGUAGUAUUUAUUACCACAAUUUAUUACACCCUGCUUGACAACAGGGACGUCCCUGAUAGUCCUUGGAAAGAAAUCACUCACAACAUGAUUUGACUUUUGGUAUUAUGCAUAUGAAAAACUACUAUCAUCAUAAAAGUUGUAAUCAAAUAAGCAUGAAAACUAAAAUUUAUGAGGAAAAAAAGGCCUGAAGUUGUAAGCUCACAGUAAUAUUGACUCACAAUGUUGGACAAAUAGCUUAAUUAUAAAGUUUAUCGGAUCCAUGAUUGGAAUGGGAUAUUUUAAUAUAUAUUCUCAAUAAAUACAAAACUCACCAGACAGUAUGCAAGUUGCUUGCAUACUGUUAAUAUUUCUAAGAAAUGUGUAGAGAACUUUUGUUUGAGGAGGACAUGUAUAUUGUUUGUAAUCAUAUGUACUCAAACAUAAUUCAAAAUAAACUGAGGGACUGCAUUCAGCUAUGAGUAACAGGAAACACCCACAAUGUUUCUAUAAUGAAUAAGGUGCUUAUUCUCACAUGAAAGAACGGGGUGAGACCCAUCUCUGCAUAAUGCAGCAGAGGAACAAGCUCCAUGUAGGGUUUUUCGUUUUGUUUUUGGAUAGUGCCAUUGUAGCUCUCAACCUGCAUCAGUAACACUCACUGUCCCUAUGGACAAAA